GGCUUCUUGGCAAAGACAGUCUGUGGGGGUCAGCACUCUGGGCCUUCCUGUCCCCACCAUCCUCGUCUGUCUGUCCCUGACAAGCCCACAGUGGCAUGUGUGUGUGUGCACCUGGUUUUCAGGAUCAGUUUCAUACAGAGAGUUCGCACACGCAGCCACACGCUCGCACACGUGUAAUAAAGUGGUGUACACGUAAAGCACAGCACUCUGUCCCCCACGUCAAAGGGACACAGCAAGAACACAGCCACAUUUGCCCAGAAGAGGCUCCCGAGUAGUCUCAUCCCCUUAGUGACCAGGUGGAUCCCUGCCUGAGGCCCUAAAUACAGAGUGCCAGGCCCUAGUGUCCUGGGGGACACUGCUGCUCUCUAACCAGGUCACCCAGGGUCCCACCUGGACACUCAGGACUGAGCCCCCUGCAGGGGGCAGCUGUUGAAGGUGCUGGGGGACAGCUCGGCUCCCUCCUUAGACUCGCAGGCGAGGCCACAGGGACUGGACUUCCCACAGGGCUCUUGGGUCUGCCCAGCUCCUGGCUGAGGAUGGCCACUGGCCAGCCCCAUGGCCAAGCCAGCUCCGCACCUCCCCCACUGCUGGCUCCCUCUGGACACCAUGAUCCCUGAAGGGAUCCGGGUAAAGCGAGCCUCCUGCCAACCCUUUCAUUCACCCGCCCACCCACCCAUUCAUGGAUCCACUCGGGAAUAUUAUUUUAUUUUAGGUGCCAGGGAUGGAGCCCAAGGGUGCUUAACCCCUGAGCCCCGUCCCCAGCCCUUUUGAUAUUUUAUUUAGAGACAGGGUCUCACUGAGUUUCCCAGGGCCUCACUAAGCUGCCGAGGCUGGCCUCCAACUUGCGAUCCUCCUGCCUCAGCCUCCCCACCCACUGGAAUGACAGGUGUGCACUUCCAUGCUCAGCUAUGUUUAGAUUUUAAAGAAAGCCUCUAACUUAUAUCCUGGGUUUCACUUUUUUUUUUUUAAUUUUGUUAAGUUGUAGAUGGACACAAUAUUUUUAUUCAUUUAUUUCUAUGUGGUGCUGAAGAUUGAACCCAGUGCCUCCCACAUGCGAGGCAGAUGCUCUGCCACUGAGCCCCAGCCCGAGCCCCACCAGGUUUUACUUCUAAGGUGGGUCUGUGUGGACUCCUGCAGCCCCCAAGGUACCCCCAAGCAACCCUGGGUCACCUCUGCCCCUGAGGGAGUCCUGGAUUUCUGGUGUUCAGCUCAGGGGUCCCGAGAGCUAAUCCCCCGCUAGAGGAAUUGUGCAAGGACGUCUUUCCAUUUCCUUCCCCAAAAGGACACUUUCCAAACAGGGGGGACCUAGAGGGGUCAGACGGGAGUGGGGGAUGGAGGGGGGACACAGUGGCCACAUGCUCAGUGCUGAAAGGAACUAGGAGGCUUCUUCACACAUCUCCUGCUGCAACUUCCCAGAGGACAGUUACUCAAGAAGCCGGCAGAAGGUGGGCAGCACACACCUGUCAUCCCAGCAGCUUGGGAGGCUGAGGCAGGAGGAUUGCAAGUUGGAGGCCAGCCUCAGCAACAGCGAGGCCCUAAGCAACUCAGGGAGACCCUGUCUCUAAAUAAAAUAUAAAAAAGGGCUGGGGAUGAGGCUCAGGGGUCUCUGGGGUCUCCGAGGUUGCAGGGGAGGGCCGCGGAGGAGGACGCAGCCCUGGCUAAGCGCUCAGCCUUGGCUCCCGGCAAGGGCCCCGUGGAAACCUGGCACUGCCAGGUCCAUAGUAGGUCUCUGUUCCAGGUCGCUGCUGUCACCCUGAGGCUGACUCUGGUGGGUAAAAAUAGGCAUGGCUCAUGCCACGGGCUCCUGAAACCGAGGCUGAGCUCAGGAACCUGCCCAAGGGCGCAGGCGACCAGUGAGGGGGCGCAUUGCGCGCUGCAGGGGGAUUGGCUGAAGUCUCUCCUCCCUGGGACUUUGGACGCUGGCCUGGGUCCUGGGGACAGGGCCCCUGCAGAGGCCCCCAGCAGACCAGGUGCAGGGUCCUCGGCAGCCCUCCCCUGCCCCCUGCUGGCCAGAUCUUGGGAAGGUCAGGUGGCCCGUGUCCAGGGUCCCCAGGAGAGCCCCCAAGGCAGCAGCAGGACUUGGGACCUGUCCUGGAGAAAGCCCUUCUCCUCUCGGGAGAGGAGGCUGGAAGACACGAGUGACACGGCCACCUGAGGUUAUGCUGAAGAUUCUUUCGGCUUGGAAGGUCCUUAGCCGAAGGGAGAAGAGGACACCUGGUCAUGACCUCGCCACAGCACCGUUGCCCGUGGACAACAGCGGGAAAUUCCUCUUGUCACAGCUGCCGGGACAUCAUAGCGCAACACGUUCCUCACAUGGUCAAGGCGAUAUCGGGUCACCAAACCUACUGUGUGCCAGUUCUUCCCGCUGCAGAGCCUGGGUCAUCUGGGAAACUGAGGCAGCAUGAAGACCCCCCCUUUGAACCCCGAUUCUUGCAAUCAAGUCAGAAAGACCUCAGACCGUCACUCAGAGGAACAGGCAUGAGUCUCUCGAGGGAUGGCAAAAGGGAAAGGGGACACCCUCAAGGGACAAAGUGGGUCCUCUCAGAGGGACCCACUGUGAGUGCAUAUUGUUUUUCAGCUGGACGCAGUGGCACACGCCUGUCAUCCCAGUGGCUCUGGAGGCUGAGGCAGGAGGAUUGCAAGUUGGAGGCCGGCCUCAACCCCUUAGCAAGGCCCAAUCUCAAAACAAAAUCAAAAGGUCCUGGUUUGAUUCUGAGCCCUGUACAAAUAUAAACCUCAGGUAAAUCCGGUUACCUGCAUGUGACAGGUGAGAAGAGUGGGCGGGGGCACAGUGAGAUCAAGCACCCUGGCCCAGGACUCUGGCUGGUGGGCGGUGCUGCUGGGGUUCAAAGCCAAAUUUGGGGUGAUGGUCCUCAGACUGGCUUCCAGGGGAGACAGCACCAGGCCUGGACAGAGGGCCUUGGGCGCCCCCUGGUGGCCAAAACUGCUGAUUCCCCACCAGCUGCCCUUCACCUCCCUCCGCCUGCAGGGGGCGCCCUGCUCCAUGGGGCAAGAUGUCCCUUGUCAUCCUUAACUAGUAGCUCGUCUUCCAACGGGGCCAAUCAGUCCUUGGACACUUUGGGGAAAAGCCUCUGUCCUCGCUGCCUUUAAUCAUGACCCAAGGACCAGGCUGUCAGCGAGCCCUUUGGGGGGACUUGAACAUCAGACUUGGAGGCUCAAUGACAAAAUUAUUUCAGGGCUAAGACCCGGCCAGGAUUUAUGCAACCCAAGGAGUUCUGCACCCGACGCUGCAGUCCUGCCUCUGAGGUAUUGCAGAUCGGGCUUCAGAUCACAGCAAUAAAAACAUUUUGUCACAAUAAAGUGCGUCCCCUUGA